GGCUCUUAAUAACACAGAAAAAUAAUGUCCACACCAGCAGCGACAUAAAACACAACAGCUAUGUACACACAUGUUACUUUUUUACGUAAUUUAAAAAUCUUUCCUAAGUGCAAUUCCUUAUUGUUUGUUUUUUAUAAAUAUCUUAUUUUUACACGUUACAAUUUUGUCACAGUAGUGUUUAUUAUUUAUUGUAAAUAAAUGUAUUUGGUUAUAAGUAUUUUUAUGAAUCCUGCUAUAUUGUUAUCAUGAUUGUCGUGAUGGAGAUUACAGAUUUAUGGUAUUUCGGCUUAAGUGUAGUGUUUUUCACACUUAAAAAGUAGAACUAUAUCAUGCCGCAAUUGUACGGUACUUUCUAAAAGUCAAUCUACCAAAGCGCUGCGCAUAUUCGGUACUAUUUUCUAUAGCUCAAGAGGGAAGCUGUUGUACUCGUACCGAAUAAUUUGUUUGUGCUUAUUCGGUUUCGAUUGUGCUAUAAGUAUUAUGACAGCUACGUGUGGGAUUGAACUUAAAUUGAAUGAUUGUAUAUAUCUGUAAUUUUAAGAUAAAUUCAUGUUGUAUUUGUGCAAUGUAUGUUCAUUUAGUGUCAAUGUAAGGGUAGGUACAGUUUGUUAGUAAGGGAGUAGGAUACAAAAAGAGGAUUGCUUUAGUAAGAAUACAACUAAACGAGUUUCCAACUUCGUUAUUUAAGAAAACAAUCUGACGUCACCUUCGAGAGUGAUAUUUGCCUAUUACUUUGUUACGGAGUUUUAUAAUAUAAUUAUGAUAUCUCAUGAACGCGGAUUAGGCGUCUGGUGUCUGUUUAUAUGUACUCAUUGCCAUAUUCAGUUCAGUCAAAUCAUGUGAUAUGAAAUAUGUAUAACGAAUUAGGAAUAACACGUUUUAAAAGAAACCUACGCAGAGAAAGCAUUAUUUUAGAAAAAUAAAAAUUAAUAAUCCCUUAUGGUAAAAUACAUUAUGACUUAAUCAGACUAUUUCAGACUUUUUCAGAGGAACAAUUCUGCCAUACACCAUGUUUGACUAUUAUCCACGUCAACCAACAACCCAAAACGCUUGCAUGAUACUCUGAUAUUAAGUUUUAGCUAUAACAUACGUGGAAGUAGAUCAAUUUCUUUCCGAGCAGUAGCGUAGAGACGUGGGUCACUCUACGUCUUCUACCCCAAUUACUACUGAGAGUAUUCAGAACCAGCUGCCCUCUGAAGUGUUUCCGAGCCAAUUUAACUGAGAGUCAGGGUAGGGUCAGAAAAAAUCGUAUCAAGUCUUAAAAGGCACUCGCAAGUCCCCCUCGGCAUUUACAGUGUCCUUGGGUAUCACUGAGCAUCAGAUGCUGCUCGUCUGCUCCCUGCUAAAAAAGGGGCACUGCCCACAAAAAAAUACUUUGCAGUUUCACGUUCUGCUUCUUGCUUGCAAAAAAAGCUUUAAUUCUUUACUCCUUAUAUGAUUUAAUCUCAUUUUAUUAUGAUGAAUGAAGAAUGUCCUAAAGAUAGUGCGAUUUAGAAGGUCCAUAAUCCAUAUCCACAGGCGACUAACAUUUUACUACUAACUAUUUUGCCAUAAGUAAAUACAAACAAUACCACUAACAACAUUUGUAAUGUAAAUUAAGGAUAUGGAAAUAAAACAAACAAAUUAUUAUUUUUUUUUUUUAUAUCAAAUUUACCAAUAAGCACAUAAUUCCGAAAAAUUUUAAUUCGGUACAUUCGUACAGAUAAGUCUUAUCAAGAGAUAACUUAUGUAUUUUAGUCGAUAGCACAUUUUUUCAUAUUCAGUACAUAGUGAAUUCAAAAUGGGCUUGUGCAUUACAAUCGAUUGCGGAAAUCCUUGCGAUGGUUGCGACGGUGGUGACGGUUGUAACCCUUGCUGUCUAGCUUUAACGGCCCUAUGUUGCAUACCUUGUUGUUGCCCAAACGCAUGUGGACGAAAUAACCAGGAUCAACCACCACAGACAAUUAUUAUAAAUCAACCGCCAGUUAUAAUAGAUAAUCAGCUUCCGGAAUACGUAUAUCCACCGUACGGGCAGCAAGGAUAUGACCAACCUGCAUACAGAUAAAUUAUAAAUAUUGGAAUAUGGAUCACGGCUGAAGAUGGGCUGUUCUGUGUCAAUCCGUCCUUGUUGCUGCUGCUGUAUUCCAUGUCUAUGCUGCAAAUGUCAAUAUGAACCUAGUCCGAAUGUCGUUUAUCAUACACCCAUUAAAGCUCCUGAGUCAUCAUCCCCUGAAGUUCCUUCUAAGAACUAUGACCCACCUCCGCCUUACGAUGAAACCUAACGAUUUAUCAUACGCAAUAUUCUUAUUAUGGGAUUAGAUAUUAUCUUAAUGGAAAUAAAUGUUUUCUUUGAGUUGUUACAUCCUCUCUAAAAUUUUUGGAAGAUAAGGAGGAUAUUUAAAAAAACACUUAAAUUAUACAUGCAUUAUAAACUUUACGUACCUACAACCAUUGAAAGGCUUUUGUUGAUUUAUUUUAUUUGUAAAAUAAAAUACAAUAAAUACUUAUUUUUAUUCAGCAUGAGGCCAUUAUUGUUUCUUCAUUUAUGUGCUAAUUGGCAUUCAAUACAAGUAAUCGAUAAUUUUUAUGCAACAUAAAUAAUUGUUUGAUUUAUAUUUCUCCGUAUAAAUAAAAAACUUAAAUCUACCUAUAUAAGCACAUUACAGUGUAUAUACGUUAUCAAACGCUUUACUAAAGUCUUAAAAUUAACGUGUAAUUUACUUGUUAACAGAAAUCUUUAUUGUAAAUAAAAUUUAUUUUAAGUGUAACACAUUAAAAGAAAAACAAAGGUUUAAUAAAAACAUGUCAUAUUGAUUAUAUAAAUUAUUUAAUUUCCCUACCCGAAUUUUGAUUUUCAGAAAUCACAAAAUUACUUCGUAUAUCUUAUCACAUGCUCACUGAUUGAUCGUUUAGUAUCUAAUCUCGACUAUUCCAUGAAUUGAAGCAUUUAUUUGUACAAUAUAAAAGCUAAAUUCAAAGAAUCGCGAAUUUAUUUUAUAUCUUUACUCGAACAAUUAAAUUUUCAAUAUGGGCUCAGGAUGUAGCAGUUGUUGUGACAGUGACCCACCUGCAGGAGAUGGAGUUUAUGUUGCCGACAACAAUCCUGGGUACAAUCCUGGUUACCCACAAGACACAGUUGUUAUAGAGGAUCAGCCUGGAAACUACGGAAGAUAAUUACAAUCUAUAUGAAGAUUGUUACAAGUGAUUCAAAAUAGCCUAUUUACAUUUUAACGAUAAUAGUGAACAUUCGCUUGCUUCAUUCACUGUACAUAUAAUAAUUAUUUAUAGCUAAAUUUGAGUUUUCAUUUAUUGUCUGAUUUAGGAAACUUAUUGGUUCUUAUACUGUUGUAUUAUAUUGUAUGUGCUAACCUAUUUGAAAAUAAAGUUACAAGGUCUUAACUAAGGAUAAGACUAUUAAAUUAUGAUAACGAUUUGUGUUCUUGGAACUUUAUCUAUCUAUGUAUGCAGCAGUUUAUUGAUUAAAUAUUUUAAACGGUA